GGGCCCGCACAAGCGGUGGAGCAUGUGGUUUAAUUCGAUGAUACGCGAGGAACCUUACCAGGGCUUAAAUGGGAGAUGACAGGGGCAGAGACGCCCUUUUCUUCGGACAUCUUUCAAGGUGCUGCAUGGUUGUCGUCAGCUCGUGCCGUGAGGUGUCAGGUUAAGUCCUAUAACGAGCGCAACCCCUGUCGUUAGUUACCAGCAAGUAAUGUUGGGUACUCUAGCGAGACUGCCGGUGCAAACCGUGAGGAAGGUGGGGAUGACGUCAAAUCAUCACGGCCCUUACGUCCUGGGCCACACACGUGCUACAAUGGUUGGUACAGAGGGCAGCUACCGGGUGACCGGAUGCGAAUCUCUAAAGCCAAUCUCAGUUCGGAUUGGAGUCUGCAACUCGACUCUAUG
rnacentral:rRNA from 1 species